rnacentral:misc_RNA from 1 species
UCUCCGUAGGUGAACCUGCGGAGGGAUCAUUACAGAGUUCUCGCCCUCGCGGGUAGAUCUCCCACCCACUGUUACCGUUACUGUGUUGCUUUGGCGGGCCGCCGGGCCCCGCUCGGCCGCCGGCUCCGGCUGGCGCGCGCCCGCCAGAGGCCCAGCAAACUCUGAAUGUUAGUGUCGUCUGAGUACUAUAUAAUAGUUAAAACUUUCAACAACGGAUCUCUUGGUUCUG